ACUCCAGCCUGGCGAUAGAGCAAGACUCCGUCUCAAAAAAAAAAAAAAAAAAAAAAAAAAAAAAAAAAAGGAUAAUGACAUCUACUUUCUAGAGUUGUAUUAAUUAUAUCUUUAUGAUAACAUAAUGUGUGUGAAGCGCACUGCCAAUAUAUGAUUAUAUAUGUAGGUUAUUUAUUAUUUUUUGAGACAAGGUCUCGCUCUGUUGCCCAGGCUGGAGUUCAGUGGCGCGAUCUCGGGUCACUGCAACCUCUGACUCCUGGAUUCAAGGGAUUCUGCCACCUCAGCAUCCUCAGUAGUUGAGACUACAGGCGAGGGCCACCACGCCCAGCAAAUUUUAGUAGUUUUUGGUAGAGACAUGGUUUCACCAUGUUGGCCAGGCUGGUCUCUUAACUCCUGAUCUCAUGUCAUUCGCCCACCUCGGCCUCCCAAAAUGCUGGGAUUACAGGAGUGAGCCCCCCUGCCCAGCCAUUUAGAUCAUUGUUAAUGAGUGCCCAUAAUAUGCUGUUUCCUUAUACAAGCAUUUGUCUUCCUUCUAAUAUUUACUUAUGUAACAAAAUUUACCUGUAAUUUUAAUUAAAAUGGUUCCACAUCUUGUUUCAGCUCUUACUUUCAAACAUAAGGUAACACUAGCUUAAAAUAUUAAAAAAUUCAUAACCUUAACUGUAUUUUUAAAGCUUAGCAUUUUCAAUUGCUUUCCACUUUGUAUAUCUUUUUUAAGAUUCUCUGGGUUAUAUGUGCUUUCUAAAACAGCGCACACAUAGCUGUCAAAACUAAACUAUGCAAAGGAAAGGUCAGACUUCGACAGAUAAUUCCUGUUGCCGUGGAAACAAAGUCGGUUUUGGAAAAAGCUGCAAGUUCCUCUAAAUAACCACAGAUUCAAAAACUUCAUGGUCUUCCUUUGACAGGUGUAGUGAUGUUCCUCAGGUUGAAUACUUUCUCCUUUUAAAUCCAGUAUUUGGGGUAUGCAAGCAAAAUCUAUAAAGAUGAAAGGAAUUGAGAGAAAGCGUAUAAUCAAUUUAGGACCAUCUAUCAAACAUUUUAUCAUUGCACCGUAGUUCAAGGUAAUCAUACACAGGAGCAACAAUUUCUGUGAUUCUCUGCCAGGAUAUCACACACACAAUAUAAAUGGAGAGAUGCAAACAGAAGACUUCUUCAGUAACUCCUUAGCAGGUAUAGAGAACCUCAUACCAGUAUCCUAAAGUGAAAUUGUUAAUUACUAGGGGAAAGGAUGACAGAAAGAAAGAGAAAAGAUAAACUGGGAAAUAUUCACACAGAAAGAAAACAGUAUUUGGAACAUUUAAAAAAUUACCCAAUUUUCUAUUUUUUUUUUUUUUAGGAAGAAAUACAUUAGCACUAAAAACCUAACAAUUAAAUAUAUAUGUA